GCAGAAGCUGCUCCUUUUCAUAGGACUAUUUGGGAAUUUGGAUUUUCAGGAGAGGGUCAGACAAAUAUAAAAGUUACCAUAUGUAAGCAAAAUGAAGAAACU